rnacentral:rRNA from 1 species
CCUACGGGAGACAGCAGUGAGGAAUAUUGGUCAAUGGGCUUACGCCUGAACCAGCCAAGUCGCGUGAGGGAAGACGGCCCUAUGGGUUGUAAACCUCUUUUGUAAGGGAGCAAAGCGGGCUACGUGUAGCCGGACGGAGAGAACCUGAAGAAAAAGCAUGGGCAAACUCCUGGCCCGCAGCCGCGGUAAUAGGGAGGAUGCGAGCGUUAUCCGGAUUUAUUGGGUUGAAAGGGUGCGUAGGCGGUCGGAUAAGUUAGAGGUGAAAUCCCGUGGCUCAACAUCGGAAUUGCCUCUGAUACUGUUCGGCUAGUGCGUAGUUGCGGUCGGCGGAAU